GACGAACGCUGGCGGCGUGCUUAACACAUGCAAGUCGAACGGAAAGGCCCUGCUUUUGUGGGGUGCUCGAGUGGCGAACGGGUGAGUAACACGUGAGUAACCUGCCCUUGACUUUGGGAUAACUUCAGGAAACUGGGGCUAAUACCGGAUAGGAGCUCCUGCUGCAUGGUGGGGGUUGGAAAGUUUCGGCUGUUGGGGAUGGACUCGCGGCUUAUCAGCUUGUUGGUGGGGUAGUGGCUUACCAAGGCUUUGACGGGUAGCCGGCCUGGGAGGGUGACCGGCGACAUUGGGACUGAGAUACGGCGCAGAGUCCUACGGGAGGCAGCAGUGGGGAAUAUUGCACAAUGGGCGGAAGUCUGAUGCAGCAACGCCGCGUGCGGGAUGACGGCCUUCGGGUUGUAAACCGCUUUCGCCUGUGACGAAGCGUGAGUGACGGUAAUGGGUAAAGAAGCACCGGCUAACUACGUG
rnacentral:rRNA from 1 species